AAGGAACUCCCGGGGGACUCAACCGGCAGGGCGGUCUUCCCGGCGACCGCAAGCAAGAUGAUCCCAACAAGAAGGACAAGAAAUUCGAGCCCGCGGCGCCUCCGUCGCGUGUCGGCCGCAAACAGCGCAAGCAGAAGGGUCCGGACGCCGCCGCCCGCCUCCCGACGGUCACCCCCCACACCAAGUGCAAGCUCCGCCUUCUGAAGCUCGAGCGAGUCAAGGACUAUUUGCUCAUGGAGGAGGAGUUUG
rnacentral:misc_RNA from 1 species